CAGUCGCCGCGGGAAUACGAAGGGGGCUGGCGUUGCUCGGAAUGACUGGGCGUAAAGGGCGCGUAGGCGGCGAUCAAAGUCAGGCGUGAAAUUCCAGGGCUCAACCUGGGGGCUGCGCUUGAUACUUGGUUGCUUGAGUGGGGAAGAGGGUCGUGGAAUUCCCAGUGUAGAGGUGAAAUUCGUAGAUAUUGGGAAGAACACCGGUGGCGAAGGCGGCGACCUGGUCCUUGACUGACGCUGAGGCGCGAAAGCGUGGGGAGCAAACAGGAUUAGAUACCCCUGUAGUCCCUGUCUCUUAUAC
rnacentral:rRNA from 1 species